rnacentral:rRNA from 1 species
GACGAACGCUGGCGGCGUGCCUAAUACAUGCAAGUAGAACGCUGAAGGAGGAGCUUGCUUCUCUGGAUGAGUUGCGAACGGGUGAGUAACGCGUAGGUAACCUGCCUGGUAGCGGGGGAUAACUAUUGGAAACGAUAGCUAAUACCGCAUAAUAGUAGAUGUUGCAUGACAUUUGCUUAAAAGGUGCAAUUGCAUCACUACCAGAUGGACCUGCGUUGUAUUAGCUAGUUGGUGAGGUAACGGCUCACCAAGGCGACGAUACAUAGCCGACCUGAGAGGGUGAUAGGCCACACUGGGACUGAGACACGGCCCAGACUCCUACGGGAGGCAGCAGUAGGGAAUCUUCGGCAAUGGACGGAAGUCUGACCGAGCAACGCCGCGUGAGUGAAGAAGGUUUUCGGAUCGUAAAGCUCUGUUGUAAGAGAAGAACGAGUGUGAGAGUGGAAAGUUCACACUGUGACGGUAUCUUACCAGAAAGGGACGGCUAACUACGUG